UGGGGAAUAUUGGACAAUGGGCGAAAGCCUGAUCCAGCCAUGCCGCGUGUGUGAAGAAGGUCUUCGGAUUGUAAAGCACUUUAAGUUGGGAGGAAGGGCAUUAACCUAAUACGUUAGUGUUUUGACGUUACCGACAGAAUAAACACCGGCUAACUCUGUGCCAGCAGCCGCGGUAAUACAGAGGGUGCAAGCGUUAAUCGGAAUUACUGGGCGUAAAGCGCGCGUAGGUGGUUUGUUAAGUUGGAUGUGGAAUCCCCGGGCUCAACCUGGGAACUGCAUUCAAAACUGACUGACUAGAGUAUGGUAGAGGGUGGUGGAAUUUCCUGUGUAGCGGUGAAAUGCGUAGAUAUAGGAAGGAACACCAGUGGCGAAGGCGACCACCUGGACUAAUACUGACACUGAGGUGCGAAAGCGUGGGGAGCAAACA
rnacentral:rRNA from 1 species